UGAAAGAUUCUUCAAGAGUGAAUACAACAAGUGAGGUUUUUGCCCUCUUCCUACUUUCUGUUAGAUUUUGCUGAAUUUUUUUGUUUGUUUUUCCAUAGUGGCUUGGUUGAGUUUUGUUCUACAAUUAAAAACCAAAGAAGAGAUACGAGGAAGGAGAGAUUUUGGUUGAUGAUGACAGUGUUGAACAGUUGCGGCUUACAUAAUUAGUAUUAAGUGAUGAUAGUUCAGAUCCGUUCAUGACAACUACUUCUAGAUUAAAGGCUGAUGCAUCUUCUUCCAACUUAGCAAAGAUUGUCGUUUUAUGUUGUAAUUUAUUUAUUUAUUUGUGCAC